GACGAACGCUGGCGGCGUGCCUAAUACAUGCAAGUCGAACGCAGUGGGGACGGGUGAGUAACACGUGGGUAACCUCCCAUCAGAGGGGAUAACACUUGGAAACAGGUGCUAAACUGAUAUUGACGGAUGGACCCGCGGUGCAUUAGCUAUUUGGUGAGGUAACGGCUCACCGAGGCCACGAUGCAUAGCGGGCCUGAGAGGAGGAUCGGCCACACUGGAACGGAUACACGGCCCAGACUCCGACGGGAGGCAGCAGUGGGGAAUCUUCGGCAAUGGACGAAAGUCUGACCGAGCAACGCCGCGUGAGUGAAGAAGGUUUUCGGAUCGUAAAACUCUGUUGUUAGGGAGGCGGUAUCUAACCAGAAAGCCACGGCUAACUACGUGCCAGCAGCCGCGGUAUUAC
rnacentral:rRNA from 1 species